rnacentral:lncRNA from 1 species
GUUUUGGACGCAUCAUCUCAUUAUUAUUUCGGUUGUUCCAUCCAAAAUUCAAAAGUACGCUGUACGCUGCGCGUGAUGGCUCCGAAGGAAGGCCCUCCCAAAAUUUUAUUUACUGUUGUUGCUUAGCUGAAUUGAAUUGAAUUGAGUUCCCACCACACAGUUGUUUUGGCUGUAGUGGCUGUGGACGACAACGCUCAUGCAAAUGGCGGCCGCACCGGGUUACCGUACUCUGACGUUUCGGCCAGUGUGUAUUCACCUGAUUUAAGUGCAUAUGUGGUGUGUACGUGAAAGUGCCUUGCAAGGCCAAGUCGGGCCGUCGUUCCAACGAGUUGUAUAAUUCGCAGUCUGACACAUGCUAUUUAUUAAAUCUGGUCUGGUCUGGGUAGACACUACUGCAAAGAGCGGUUUAAGAUCCUGGGUUCGAUUCCCGGGAAGACCCCCGGAUUACUCGGGAGAACGAGAUUAAGGCUAGCUGCUGAGAUGUGGAGUUGAGGUCACAGUUGAUGAACCAGAUUCGCACGCUGGGUCGGUGGCGAUUGCCAAACCCUCCGACUCUUCGGAUGUUCGGGUGAAUGAUGAGGAGGGGUCCCUGAAGGCUGGAUCCGCCGCCUUGGACUUACAGUUCGUAUGGCGAAGACAGUGUGGUAGUGGUGGAUGGUGCUAUAAGGUGAUAAAUCGUAGAACUGACAAUGUGAUAAAGUGGCCCAGAAGCCUCCCACUCUGUAACAUUACAUUGUCAACACCUUUUCCUCAAAGUGUGAAGAUUCUAGAGAGAUUCGUUGCUUUUACGGCAGUGCCGUACCGUACACGUCACCACAUCAAACAUGCUGCGUGAUUCCUGCUUGCUGGAUCUGGACCUGAAUCUGGAAUCUACGUAGCCUGACUCACCUUUUGAGUUUUAAACACACAUCGCCUGGAUCUGGAUCUCGAUCUGGAACUGAAUCCUGCCAGGACGCACCCGUACACAAUCUUUGCCUGUCUUCCCCGCCCAUCUCCGCCCGUCGGCGCGCAGAUUUAUACCACAGAUAAACUACUGUUCACAUAAUCUCUAUAUAUAGUAUAGCCGUUUUGGUGAUGUGUACGUCGUUGUACGUCGGCGGCGGCGCCAGAUGGCCUCCUAGGAAUUCGUUCCGUCGUCUGUCUGUCUGUCUGUCUGUCUGUCUGUCUGUCUGUCUGUCUGUCUGUCUGUCUGUCUGUCUGUCUGUCUGUCUGUCUGUCUGUCUGUCUGUC